UACAGAGGGGGGCAAGCGUUGUUCGGAAUUACUGGGCGUAAAGGGCGCGUAGGCGGCCUUCUAAGUCGAACGUGAAAUCCCUGGGCUCAACCCAGGAACUGCGUCCGAUACUGGGAGUCUCGAGUUCGGGAGAGGUGAGUGGAACUGCGAGUGUAGAGGUGAAAUUCGUAGAUAUUCGCAAGAACACCAGUGGCGAAGGCGGCUCACUGGCCCGGUACUGACGCUGAGGUGCGAAAGCGUGGGGAGCAAACAGG
rnacentral:rRNA from 1 species